AAAAUUGAUAGUUGGGACAAAAUUUCUUACAUAAAUCAGCCUAUUGAGAUUCACAGAGAAGAAGGUAAAUGUUUCACCCUACAUGAUGCACUGAAAAGUCUUAUGCCAGAAUUUUUGGUGGAUAAAUCCUUGAUUGAUGAGGAAUCAUUUAGAUUAGAAGGUGAAGAUGAACAAGUAAUAUUGUCUGAAGAUUUGAGCAGCAACAGAAUGGCAGCAGAGGGAAGGGAAAUUUCAUGUCAAUCCGUGG
rnacentral:misc_RNA from 1 species